rnacentral:rRNA from 1 species
AACGAACGCUGGCGGCAGGCCUAACACAUGCAAGUCGAGCGAGGACUUCGGUCCUAGCGGCGGACGGGUGAGUAACGCGUGGGAACGUGCCCUUUGCCUCGGAAUAGCCCUGGGAAACUGGGAGUAAUACCGGAUGAGCCCUUUGGGGGAAAGAUUUAUCGGCGAAGGAUCGGCCCGCGUUGGAUUAGGUAGUUGGUGGGGUAAUGGCCUACCAAGCCGACGAUCCAUAGCUGGUUUGAGAGGAUGAUCAGCCACACUGGGACUGAGACACGGCCCAGACUCCUACGGGAAGCAGCAGUGGGGAAUCUUAGACAAUGGGGGAAACCCUGAUCUAGCCAUGCCGCGUGAGCGAUGAAGGCCUUAGGGUUGUAAAGCUCUUUCAGCUGGGAAGAUAAUGACGGUACCAGCAGAAGAAGCCCCGGCUAACUCCGUG